GAUGGCGCGAUUCCGAUUUUUUUAAGGAGUCGUGAGAAUCGCAUGAAUCCGAUUCCGGAAUCGGAUUCCAUUUUCGAUUCACCUGACAGAUGAAUCGAAAAAUGUGAAAUCUGACUCUUUUCAAGCAGGAAUCGCAAAUGUAAUAUGAUUCGCGAUUCCGGUAAUUUGAUUCUCGCGACUCCGAUAUUUCGAUUCUCCCGACUCCGAUAUUUCGAUUCUCGCGACUCCUCAUUACGAUUCUCACGACUCCUCAUUACGAUUCUCUAGACUCUCACAAUGAACGAAAUCACCCAAAUUCAAAUUGGGCUUUUCUACAAUCCGCGGGUUGCAUACUCUCUGCCUGUUCUUAUCACUCCUGGUAGGCAAAACAUUCCUCUGUGCUAUUAAAAAUACACGGAUUUCGAAGUUUUUAUGUAAAAAGUCCAACUUUUUCGAUUGUUCGCGGAUGCUGGUGAACUUGAAUGUGGUCUCAAAUUAAAGACAGUGAAAUUCCCUAUCGAUUGAUGUAUAAUUUUUAUCAUUUCGCGUAAAAAUAACGGUUUUAUGAAUACUUUUAUCCACCGUUUCUUCGUAAUGUCAACUUUGAACUAAAAAUACUCGAAAUUUCGAUCGAACACAUAGGUAUUUUACUAUAUCAAAAUGUUUGUAAUUUUAUUCUCUUUAAAAUGGGUGCUCGCCCAAAGCUCUACCUUUUACCGUUCAAAAGUUUUCGAAGUUUAAAGUUGCGGAAACAAGCUUCAAGCGGUAAGUAUUGAACUUUGAACUAAAAAUACUCGAAAUUUUGAUCGAACACAUAGGUAUUUUAUUAUUGCAAAAUGUUCGUUAUUUUAUUCUCUUCAAAAUGGUUCUUCACCCAAAGCUCUAACUUUUACCGUUCAAAAGCUCUCGUAGUUUAAUGCUGCGGAAAGUGGUUAGUGAUCAACAGUUCAACACUAACGGCCAGUAAUGGUAAUGGCGGACGGAUUAACAUACUGAAUUAACCACUUUCCGCAACUUUAAACUACGAGAGCUUUUGAACGGUGAAAGCUAGAGCUUUGGGUGAAGAACCAUUUUGAAGAGAAUAAAAUAACGAACAUUUUGCAAUAAUAAAAUACCUAUGUGUUCGAUCAAAAUUUCGAGUAUUUUUAGUUCAAAGUUCAAUACUUACCGCUUGAAGCUUGUUUCCGCAACUUUAAACUUCGAAAACUUUUGAACGGUAAAAGGUAGAGCUUUGGGCGAGCACCCAUUUUAAAGAGAAUAAAAUUACAAACAUUUUGAUAUAGUAAAAUACCUAUGUGUUUGAUCGAAAUUUCGAGUAUUUUUAGUUCAAAGUUGACAUUAUGAAGAAACGGUGGAUAAAAGUAUUCAUAAAACCGUUAUUUUUACGCGAAAUGAUAAAAAUUAUACAUCAAUCGAUAGGGAAUUUCACUGUCUUUAAUUUGAGACCACAUUCAAGUUCACCAGCAUCCGCGAACAAUCGAAAAAGUUGGACUUUUUACAUAAAAACUUCGAAAUCCGUGUAUUUUUAAUAGCACAGAGGAAUGUUUUGCCUACCAGGAGUGAUAAGAACAGGCAGAGAGUAUGCAACCCGCGGAUUGUAGAAAAGCCCAAAUUUCUUUUAUCUAAUUUUUGCCGGUUGGCGCUGAAAAGUGGUUGUGAAAGUGAAUCUGAAUGAUGAAUUUAGAAUUUAUCAUUGUUUUACUAAUAACAUGGAGUUGUGAUGGGAAUCUGGCUGGAGUCGUGAGAGGAAUCUGGUUGGAGUCGUGAGAGGAUCCUAAGAUGAGUCGUGAGUGGAAUCUGAAUCGGAGUCGCGAAAGGAAUCGGAAUCGAAAAUUACGAUUCGGAUUCGGAUUCCUAUAUCUGGCGAAUCUGAUAAGUGGAA